rnacentral:rRNA from 1 species
AUUGAACGCUGGCGGCAGGCCUAACACAUGCAAGUCGAGCGAGCGGCGGCCGGGUGAGUAAUGUCUGGGAAACUGCCUGAUGGAGGGGGAUCACUACUGGAAACGGUAGCUAAUACCGCAUACCAUCAGAUGUGCCCAGAUGGUAUUAGCUAGUAGGGGGGGUAACGGCUCACCUAGGCGACGAUCCCUAGCUGGUCUGAGAGGAUGACCAGCCAUACGGAAACGGAGACACGGUCCAGACGCCUACGGGAGGCAGCAGUGGGGAAUAUUGUACAAUGGGCGCAAGCCUGAUGAAGCCAUGCCGCGUGUAUGAAGAAGGCCUUCGGGUUGUAAAGUACUUUCAGCGGGGAGGCGUUACCCGCAGAAGAAGCACCGGCUAACUCCGUGCCAGCAGCCGCGGUAAUAC